AUGUAAGCAACUUUUCACUUUUUAGGUUCAUUCAAUAAAUGAUGCAUGUGGUCCAUAUUAUAGACCGCAUACAUCAUUUAUUGAAUGAACCUAAAAAGUAAAAAGUUGCUUACAU
rfam:Medicago truncatula strain A17 chromosome 3, whole genome shotgun sequence.